GGAAGUAAAAGUCGUAAUAAGGUUUCCGUAGGUGAACCUGCGGAAGGAUCAUUACAGAGUUCAUGCCCUCACGGGUAGAUCUCCCACCCUUGAAUAUUUAUACCUUAGUUGCUUUGGCAGGCCGUGGAAACACCAUGGGCUCCGGCUUAUGCGUGCCUGCCAGAGGAAACAAACUCUGUUUUUAGUGAUGUCUGAGUACUAUAUAAUAGUUAAAACUUUCAACAACGGAUCUCUUGGUUCUG
rnacentral:misc_RNA from 1 species